AGCAGGAUGGAAGAAUCACGUGACUCACAACACAGGCAAAGAUAAUUAAAAAUUUAAGAUUCUAGCUGAGACUGUGAAGAGUGACCAACUUGGGAAACAGACCACUUUGUAUCUCUUAAAUCCUCAAGCCUGCCUGACACCCAGCAGCCUGUGCCUCGCAUCCUCCCGUCCCUAUCCUGGCCCCACCACUGCGAAGCACAGCUCUGUUCUCUGUGUCUGCUGCAUAAUCAUUUCUGCAGGAGAUCUACCCAGGACUGAGUGGACCUGUUGGGUGGUAGGGUAAGCGCACACUCAGUCUGACUUAAGUGGUGCCGGAUUGCUCUCCUGGCUGACUGUACCCAUCUCUACUUCCUUCAGCAGUACACAUCCCUGCCAACAUGUGACAAGAUCCAGCUUUCAAUUUUUUUUUUUUUACCAAUCUAACAAGUGUAAAGUAACAUCUAUUGUUUUACUUUGCAUUCCUUUGAAUACUAAUGAAUGUGAGCACUUCUUUGUAUGCUAGUUAGCUUUC